rnacentral:rRNA from 1 species
GUUGCAUGGCUGUCGUCAGCUCGUGACGUGAGUUGUUCUCUUAAGUGAGGUAACGAGCGCAACCCCCGUUCUGUGUUAUUGUGUCACAGAAGACUGCCUGGCAUUAUUUUGUUAGGAGGAAGAGGGACGACGUCAAGUCAUCAUGAUGCUUAUGUCCAGGGCUACACACAUCCUACAAUGGGCUAUAACAGAGGGUUGCAAGACCGCAAGGUGGAGCUAAUCCCUAAACUAGCCCUCAGUUGGGAUUGCAGGCUGAAACUCGCCUGCAUGAACCCGGAAUUGGUAGUAAUCGCACAUCAGCAGCGUCGACGGUUCCGAAUACGUUCCGGGCCUU